rnacentral:rRNA from 1 species
UACGGGGGGGGUAAGCGUUGUUCGGAAUUACUGGGCGUAAAGGGCUCGUAGGCGGCCAACUAAGUCAGACGUGAAAUCCCUCAGCUUAACUGGGGAACUGCGUCUGAUACUGGAUGGCUUGGAUCCGGGAGAGGGAUGCGGAAUUCCAGGUGUAGCGGUGAAAUGCGUAGAUAUCUGGAGGAACACCGGUGGCGAAGGCGGGUCUCUGGGCCGAUACUGACGCUGAGGAGCGAAAGCGUGGGGAGCGAACAGG